GGGCCCGCACAAGCGGUGGAGCAUGUGGUUUAAUUCGACGCAACGCGAAGAACCUUACCAGGUCUUGACAUCCUGACUAUGGUUGUUAGAAAUAACUUCCUUCAGUUCGGCUGGGUCAGUGACAGGUGCUGCAUGGCUGUCGUCAGCUCGUGUCGUGAGAUGUUGGGUUAAGUUCCGCAACGAGCGCAACCCUUAUCUUCAGUUGCCAUCAGGUUAAGCUGGGCACUCUGAAGAGACUGCCGGUGAUAAGCCGGAGGAAGGCGGGGAUGACGUCAAGUCCUCAUGGCCCUUAUGACCUGGGCUACACACGUGCUACAAUGGCGUUGACAAUGAGUAGCGAUGACGCAAGUUUCAGCUAAUCUCAAAAAUACGUCUCAGUUCGGAUAGAACUCUGCAACUCGAGUUCUUGAAGUUGGAAUCGCUAGUAAUCG
rnacentral:rRNA from 1 species